rnacentral:rRNA from 1 species
AUUGAACGCUGGCGGCAGGCCUAACACAUGCAAGUCGAACGGUAGCACAGAGAGCUUGCUCUCGGGUGACGAGUGGCGGACGGGUGAGUAAUGUCUGGGAAACUGCCUGAUGGAGGGGGAUACCUACUGGAAACGGUAGCUAAUACCGCAUAAUGUCGCAAGACCAAAGAGGGGGACCUUCGGGCCUCUUGCCAUCGGAUGUGCCCAGAUGGGAUUAGCUAGUAGGUGGGGUAAUGGCUCACCUAGGCGACGAUCCCUAGCUGGUCUGGGAGGAUGACCAGCCGCACUGGAACUGAGACACGGUGCAGGCUCCUACGGGAGGCAGCAGUGGGGAAUAUUGCACAAUGGGCUCAAGCCUGAUGCAUCCAUGCCGCGUGGAUGAAGAAGGCCUUCGGGUUGUAAAGUACUUUCAGCGAGGAGGAAGGCAUUGUGGUUAAUAACCACAGUGAUUGACGUUACUCGCAGAAGAAGCACCGGCUAACUCCGUGCCAGCAGCCGCAGUAA